GACGCGCACUUCAAUCAGACGGCCUCACCAAUGGGCUUGCGCGCUGUCCGCGGUGCCCGCCCCUGUCUCGGCCUCCCGGCGCCCGCGCUGCUUUCCCUCAGGCCGCCGCGGCGGCGCCCGCCUGCGCCUCCAUCCGGGUCCUGGUGCGCUGCUCUCCCGGCGGCGGCGGGCGCGAGGGCCGGGUCAUUACUGCGGCGGUGACGGCCCUCUCCGCGAGGUCGAGGAGACCAGGAUUACCGAGGAGGAAAGAAAGAGCCUUCCUGUGGUGCUCAACUGUGAUUCCUUUUCAUCAUUCACCCUGGCUAUUCUCUUCACUGUGGGAUGAGGUAGUAGGUUGUAUAGUUUUAGGGUCACACCCACCACUGGGAGAUAACUAUACAAUCUACUGUCUUUCCUAACGUGAUAGAAAAGUCUGCAUCCAGGUGGUCUCAUAGAAAGUCAUUUAACUAAUUGUGUAAUAUUUAAGAUUAACUUGUUUUUAAAAGAUGUAGUGCAGCAUUUGUUUAUGUGUGCAAGUUUAUUACUUUAGAGAUAAAAUCUGUAACACGGACACUGGAUGGGGGUGGGGAUACCUUUUACUACUUGUCUUAUUUCUUUGUGUCGGAAUAAGUUGUUUUUUUGUUUGUUUGUUUUUUUUAAUUUUGAUUGAUGCUGAUAAUUUUAUGUUGAAAUUCUCUUUUGAAAGAGAUUGUACUUUCCAUUCCAGAAGAAAAGAUUGCUCUAUCAGAGUGAGGUAGUAGAUUGUAUAGUUGUGGGGUAGUGAUUUUACCCUGUUCAGGAGAUAACUAUACAAUCUAUUGCCUUCCCUGAGGAGUAGACUUGCUGCAUUAUUUUGUUUUUAUUAAGAUGAUGUUAAAACUCAGAAGAGUUAAUUUUGACAUUUUGUAUAUCAGUUAAUUUUCUCUGUUCAAGUAUAGUACAGUUAACACUGAUUAACAUUAAAAUUUUUCACAUAUGGUAUAUUUCAGAAAUUUGAAGUUAAGCAAAAAUGUCAAUGAGUAGAGUAAGUAGCCUUCAGGAAAUCUUAGUAGAAGACCAGGCCCUUUUGGAAUUGUGUGUAGGUUUAUUGCCUUACUUCCUGGUACACAUGUCCAAGGUGAGGUCCCGGGUGGUAAAGGUAAAUACAGAUUGGAAGGGCACUGUGUGAGCCAAAAUGGAGUCAAAUCAAUCAUGAUUCAUUUCCAGUUUGGGUUUUGGCUGGUCUUGGAGAAUGUUGUAAGCUCUGUUUGAUUGGUAUGUUGAUUUAGACAAACUAUACUCACUAACUUGGAAAAGGAGAGAUGGGCUCUGGUUUCUGCCUUUGCUCACUGAUAAGUUGCUAAGAUCUCAGUUUUGCCCUCAAACACUGAAGUGUAGUCCCUCAUUUACACAGUGGGAUCACCUGAAAAUGUCAGAUGGGGAAAUCCAUAGGUUGUUGCUUUAGGAAAAUAGAAAAAAUAUGCUGGAAAAGGUUUCUUGAAUUUUAACACCCAUGAAGGCCCAUGUUUUUACCUUUCUUCCUAUGGGCAAACCAUAUGCUAACUUGGGCCUUGUGAUUAACAAGCAAGGCUAAAAGCUCUUUAAGUACUUGCUGAUUAAACUGUUUUGUGUUGGAAGAAGAGUUGUAAAAGAGGCAGUGCAGAGGUGAGGGAGAGGUUACGUCCCUCUCCAAUCAUUUCCAAAAAAUUGAAUUUUAAGGAGAAAUGUUCAUUUAUCCUUAAUAUCUAAGAUAAUUACUGUGCAGUGCCAGUACUGCCAUGGUACUUUUCAUGAGAGUAGAAACAUCAAACUCUUCCUUGGAUGGGCCCAACCCAGGUGACUUACUCUUGACCAAAUUUAUGCUUUUUGUUUUAUCCACUGUGGACAGCUGCAUAGGUAGUCAGUCUUUGUUCUAAACUGCACAUAAAAACAGGGGAAAAUGACAUUCGUUGCCUUUUGACGUGCCAAAGAAAAGUGGGAAUGUUCUAAGAAUUCUCUUUGGCUUAAUCUUUGUUGAAUUGAAAAUACGUGUAACUCUUGCUGAACGUGUAGCAAGUAUAGUCAUGAAAUUUUGUGGUUUUCUGACACAUGUUCUUCCAGCAUUAACAUUGCCAGCUUCAAUUGGAAACGUAUCCUUACCUUACUAAUAAUUAAGGCCUGGAGAAAAAUUAAUUUAUGUAUUUUAUUAAUUACGUAAGGACAUUCUUACUAGCCAAGCAGAGUAAGUGAAUUGAAAUAAAACUUUAAAAAUGUCUUUAUGGAGAGUGUGACUGUCUGUAAAAGCUUGUUUUUAAUGAUGACAAAAUUCAUGAUCAGAA